UGUGGUCGAUAGUGGAACAUCCCAGUUUUAGCUCUUCCAGUAGAUUUAACGGGGCGUUGCCUCCACGAAGAGACUUAACAUCGCUAGCACACUACUAGCAUAGUAGCAGUUCACCUUGAAAAUAACUACACAUACAAAUAUGCUACUAUUUCGAUAACGACAUUUUAGGUUAACACUUGGAUCUCCGGGUUGGCUUCUAUCUAUAUGCCGAUCGUUAUGUGAAUCGUGUGAAAAUGCACAUUUCUACACUUGCAAAAACUGACGAAAAGUUAUAACUAAACACAACAGUCAACAUAAUAGUAUGCUGUAGUAAACUAGACUUGGGCGUUCAAGAAUUUCUUACUCAUAAAAAAAAAUUCGUUCUAUUCAAAGACUAAAUU